rnacentral:rRNA from 1 species
CGCGAAUCGCCCUUCGGGGCGCACCAGGCGCGAAAACUUUACAAUGCGGGAAACCGUGAUAAGGGGACACCGAGUGCCAGCAUCAUAUGCUGGCUGUCCAGGUGUGUAAAAUACACCUGUCAGCAAGGGCCGGGCAAGACCGGUGCCAGCCGCCGCGGUAACACCGGCGGCCCGAGUGGUGAUCGUGAUUAUUGGGUCUAAAGGGUCCGUAGCCGGUUUGGUCAGUCCUCCGGGAAAUCUGACGGCUCAACCGUUAGGCUUUCGGGGGAUACUGCCAGGCUUGGAACCGGGAGAGGUAAGAGGUACUACAGGGGUAGGAGUGAAAUCUUGUAAUCCCUGUGAGACCACCUGUGGCGAAGGCGUCUUACCAGAACGGGUUCGACGGUGAGGGACGAAAGCUGGGGGCACGAACCGGAUUAAAUACCCGGGUAGUCCCAGCCGUAAACGAUGCUCGCUAGGUGUCAGGCAUGGCGUGACCGUGUCUGGUGCCGCAGGGAAGCCGUGAAGCGAGCCACCUGGGAAGUACGGCCGCAAGGCUGAAACUUAAAGGAAUUGGCGGGGGAGCA